GAGAAACUCAUUCUCUCUUAUCUUCUUCUUUCUAUUCUAUUUUCUUCUUCUCUUUCUUCUCUUAUUCCCGUUCUUCUCCGUCUACGAGAAUUUGAGAGAUGAAAAGGAAGCUUUGUGAUCGGUAUGAGGUGGAGAAGAUCAUGGAGUAGGUGGUAGUGAUGGUGUCGUCGUUUUUGUUGAUUCAGACUCGAAAGAGGAAUUGAAUUAGAAGUUAGGGUUUAUACGAAAAGCUCAGAGAAGAAUUAAGAGAUGAAAUUGGUGUUCUAGGAGAAAGAAUUGAGGUGGUUUUAUGUUUAAUUGAGUGAUAUGAAGUUGUUUUGAUGAAGAAUCACUGAGUUAGGGUUUGUAAGAAAUCCAGAAAGGUUGUAGAAGAUGAAAUUGAAGGUUUGGAAGAUUAAUUGGAGAUGGGUUUUUUCGUAAGUGAUGAUUGAUUGAGGUUGUAAAGUUGUUUGAGGAUUGAAUUAGUAAAUCAGGGCUUUCCUGUGAAUGACUAAGAAGAGAAAUUAGGGUUGUUCUUGAGGAUGUUGAUAAGAAGAAAUAGAUGAAACAUGGAUAAGACUAGUAUUUAAGGAAUCUGAAUCAGAUGGAGGUUUAAUGAUUUAUGAGUUAAGACGAGGUGUUGAAUCAGAUCAAGCCAAAGAAGAGGUUAAUUCAAUUGCUUCAAUAACUCUGUCUUGAGGUACUUGUUGUUUGAGUUGAGAAAGUAGAGGUGAUAGUGUUGGAGCAGAGUUUGUAGUGAACUGAAUAAGACGAGAUGUGGUCUUGGUUAUGUCUGAGUUUAGUUAGAAUGUUCGGAAUUUUGGUGGUUGUAGUGGUUGUAGGAUUUCAAUCUGGUGGAUGUGAGAUGGUGAUUGGCUGGAGAUGUAAUUGAAGGUGAUGGGUGUUUAGAGAUUAAUUCAGCAACUGAAGUUGAUGAAGCAACAGUUCAGGGGAGGCUAAUAUCUGAGUUUGUGAGCUGAAGUAAGUUGUAAUGUUGUUAUGGCAGUGAUCUUAGUGAAAGCUUGGAAUUGCAAUUGCAGUUAGUCUGUUCAAAGGAUGAACCCGUGGAUCGUAGAUCUCAAGUUAGGCGUGGCUUGUCAUCAAAAUAGUUUCAGAGACAGAUCAGAGUUGCGCAGCGAAAGCUUCG